rnacentral:misc_RNA from 1 species
AAAUUCCCUUGACACCGGCAAGAUGUCCGCCACCACUGACGUGAUGUGUUUCGUCGAGUCGAUCAAAGUUUUAUGAUCAACAAAGGUUGGUGUUUAGUUUCACAGUGACAAAAUGAGACUUUAUUGGACAGCAUGGGGUAGAUGAUGGUGAAUUCGAAAACCCCAUUCAUCAAGCGAGCGACUCAAUUUCUUAGUGAAGUGCUUCCAAAGUGGAAAAGUUUUAGUUUUAGCGACCAAAUGAAGACCAAAAAUUUCUAUAUAUGUCUCCUAUUCAUUGCUGCUACUUCCACUUCUAUAUGGCUCCUGUCCAAUCCCUCCCCAAACCUGCAUACCAUCGUCACGCAGACCCACAAACAAAUCAACAACAUCAAAAACAUCCCAACUAACAUAAGGACUUCUAAUGAAGAGGAAUUAAAAGUGGAUCAUGUGUACCUGGAACGACUUGGAUUUUACGACAAGGAGGCUAAGGUUGUUAGCAGUGAGAUGAAGGAGACGCCGAUCAUUGGGACCUCAGCAUUGCCAGGCCACUAUGAAGAAGCUCUCAAGUUUGUUAAAUCUACCCAAAAGAUUCUUCCUCAACAAAAAAUUCUUAUCUAUGAUCUGGGAAUCAGUACGACAGAAUCUCAACAGAUGGUUAAGUUCUGCAACAAGACGAGGACAUGUAGCCUAAAAGUGUUUCCGUUUGAUAAAUUUCCAUCACACGUUAGAUACCUGGAUACCAAGAGUUAUCGGCCCUUGGCUGUACAGGAGACACUUAAGGAAUAUGGAGCUGUGAUAUGGCUGGAGCCGCCCGAACACUUCACCACCAGCAAGCUCAAUAAGGUAUUAGCUCAGGCACAAAAGGAGGGAAUCGCGGCCUGGACCAUCCAGGAACCUGCCUCUGCUCUUAUCCACCCAAAGAUGUUCAAAUAUUUCAAAACCAAGCAGAAUAAUUACUUCUUUUUAAGGGCAGCAAAAGCCAACCAGUUGAUUAUUUACAACACAGAGAAAAUACGACAAGAUUUGAUGUUACCAUGGGUUAAAUGUGCGUUAACAGAAGAAUGCAUAAAUCCCACAGGUGCUCAGAAUUUUGGCUGUAAUUAUGAUCUUAAACCUCGUUUUAGGUACAUGGGCUGUCAUAAAUAUGACAUGGCCGCCCUUAAUGUUAUUCUGGGAUUAAUGUUUGACUUUUCUGAGUCGCCGUACGAAGUGGAAGAGGAAAUCUUUGGUGUUUUGGUGACGGAACAGAAUGGGAAUUCAACUUCUCCACGAUAUGUUACCCGGGACAAACUCACUCAGAUUAGCUAGUCAGUACCCACAGAACACAAUGUAAUGGUAAAAGUUGGAACAAGCUGUGAAUUAAUUUUAUUGCCAGGUGUUAUGUAUUAUAUCUAGGAUGUUUGUGCUUUACUUUUCACAAUAUGCUAAUUGAAGCAGACCCUAUCAAAUUAUAAAAAAAAUUGGGCAUAAAAUGGGAAAAGUACUAAUCUUAAAGAACAAAUAGGGAAUUUUAAGUCCAGCAGACAGGUAAAACCACUGACACUAGCUUGUCUGUCAAUACACCUAUAACUAUAUGUUUAUUCACAGACAAGUUAGGCUAAUGCCUGUGGUUUAGACUUCUCAUGUAGAGUAGAGGAAACAGGUAUAUGGGUAAGAAUUAUCACACAAUUUGUAUUUUGAUUCAAUCAGAUCAAUAAAACUCGUUUAGGUAUAUCGGUCUGUAUCAGGAUAAUGGUAAGAUAGGGCACACAACAUACAAUGUACAGUAUCAGGUAACUCGGUCUGUAUCAGUAUAAUGGUAAGAUAGGGCACACAACAUAGAAUGUACAGUAUCGGGUAACUCGGUCUGGAUCAGUAUAAUGGUAAGAUAGGGCACACAACAUGCAAUGUACAGUAUCAGGUAACUCUGUCUGUAUCAGGAUAAUGGUAAGAUAGGGCACACAACAUACAAUGUACAGUAUCGGGUAACUCGGUCUGUAUCAGUAUAAUGGUAAGAUAGGGGACACAACAUACUAUUUACAGUAUCAGGAAAGAAAAACAAUGCAAUUAUUGAAACUCCCAUACAACGCACACUUUGUUUGUAGCCUAUUAUGUUGAUAUUCAUUGUUAUAGUUUCCUUAAUUGAAAAUGGUAAUUACAUCAUUGAUUAUUCUCAUUAAAUUUCAUAAAAAAAUCGUCAUUGAAUCAUGUUUACUGGAAUGAAACAAAACAAAAUUGUUAGUAAUUGUUUUGCAAAUUUUCUUAAUAAAAAGUAGAAGAAAAAAUGAGAUUUACAUUUAAAGGAAUUAACUGUGUUCAUAUAAAGAUAGACUUGGAUUUUCUUACUUCUGCUUUUUGUUGAUUUUGGAUGUAUUGAAGAAAUUUAUUUCCAUAAAAAAGAUGAAAAAACCCCAUUAUUAAAUGACAAUUAAGUGCUAUACAUCAGUUUGAGCACUGAGAUGAACUCUUAAAUUGCAUUAGUUAAAUGUAUUUCAUAAAAAAUCUCACAUGGUAUUUUGUCUUUAUUUUUUUUAUUGAAAAUGUUUCAGUUUUCAUAUUUGUUUUUAGUCGUAGUAGGAAUUUCUUUUAAUCAUCAGUUCAUUUUAUCGUGUUCUGCUUAGGAGGGAAAGAUAUGCAUCGCUAAAAUAAGAGUUUUCACUUGUUGAAAUAAUGAUAAAAGACAGGUUGAUAAUUAAGAUUUGUCCAUUAUUUAUUUGGUGAGUUUGUAGAAGGUAUCGGGUGAGUUUAUGUAAUGGUGCUUUGUCCGUUUGUCAUCUGUUGUGCUUCAAAUUUUUGCAUGAACUACUGAGAAGAUUUUAACCAAAUUUUGAUGUAAAGUAAUACAAUUAGAAGGGUUGACCAUCCAUUGGGUAGAGGGGUGGGGUCAAAAGUCACCGGAUCGGCUGAUAAACAAAAAUUGACAUCUUUUUUCAAAGUACAUUUGUACUCACUAGUGGAUUUCAACCAGAGUUUAGUGGUAGCAUGCUUAGCCCAUGGGGCUCUGAAUUGAUACAAAUGGAGGGGGUAAAGGUAGGGUAACAAUUCCAUUAACCCUCUGCCUCAGGCAGAUAGAUUCUAUGUCAGGACUUGUGACAGUUUCAAUAUUUACUAUAACAGUAGGUGGGCUAGAAUUAUUUUCUAAAUAUUCCUGCAGUUCUAAAGUACUCUAAAUAGGCAAUUGUAUACCCCUGCAAAAGGUCACAUUUUCUUAUCUGCUUUAAAUGACUACAUCUCCAAAACUACUGAGCAGAUUUAAACCAAAUGGUAGUGUAAGCAUGCUUAUCCCCAUUUGGAUCUAAAGUUUCACAAAUGAAGGGAUUGACCCUCCUGAGGGCUAAGGCAAAAGAUGUAGUUUUGAAAUAUUUACUUUAAAUGGCAUCUCUUCCCAAACUAAUGGACAAUUUUUACCUAAAUUGUUGUGGCAGCAUGGGUAGUGUCCUUAGCCCAUGGGGAUCAAAACUUAUAAUGACCUUAACAUUCCUGGAGCUGACCUCCCAAACUCAUGUCCUCAUAUAAUUGUAUUAACUUGAUUUCCAAAAUAGCCAGGUGAGCGAUUUCAGGCUCUUUUGACCAAUUGUUUAGCAUGUGUGCUGGUGUGUUACACAAAUGUGUUACAUAAGUGUAUUCGUCCCAUAUUUAUUUUAUGUGUGUUAUAAAUAAAGGCAUUACUCAUCGUUACUGUCCAAAGCUUAUUUGGUUUUUAUCUAGGCUUUGCAUGUAUUCGUCUGAUGUUUAUUUAGUAUACUUGAAUAACACGUUAUGUUUUACACAUCAACGCCCCUUUCUCGCCAUUAUACACAAGGCUUCCUCACUGGUUUUUGUUGUAAAUAUAGAGGUGUGGGUGCCAUGUUUAGUGGUAAAAUUAGACUUUAUCAAAAAUAAAAGUUUGUUUUGAAUGAAAAAUGUCCAUGAAGACUGUGAUAUCAGCACAUGUUUUUACAGUAGAAGCUGUUCAGAGAAACCAACACUUUAACAAUAAAAGUGGUUUCAAAAGUGACUUCCUUAGCAGGUUCAUUAUAAUGCAACUCCUCGGCAGAUCAUGAGUGGAGGGAAGUUUUGAACCUUUGUUUUGCACUUCUUAUGUAUCAGCAGCACAAUAUUGGAACCCCCCCCCCCCCUCCAUCCCCCUACAACACAGACACACUCACAUCUUUCCUAGAAAGCUGUUUUAAGAUUCACCUCUGCUUGUAAUUAUGUAGUUCUAGAUUGCUAUUGGUCAAAUAUGGUUUUGGUAGUAUAUGAUGAUCUAAAGUUAAGUGAAGUAUACAAAAUAUUGACUUUCAACUAAAGGCCCAUAAAAAGCAUAUUUUACAAACAGUAGUUAUGAUUAUACCAAUGACAUGUUUACACUCAAACAAAACCUACCAUAAAGCAAUGUAUGCUGUAAGUAUUGUUACUGUGUGUGGGUGUUCUGAAAAUGAUCUUAGUACAGUACUAAAGUAGUCUGUAUUGUAAAUUGUGUCCACAAGUUAUCUCCCCUUAACAUAAUUUAUCUGUAAAGCAAACAUAUCAUGGCAUAUUAUGACAUAGUUUCCUAGGUGAUUGUAAUACCCCAAAUAAUUCCAGUGUUUCUUAACCAUUCACAGUUGUCUUUGGUGACCUAGACCAAGACUAUCAGAUUUUAAAAGGAAUUGUUUAUAAGUAUAAUUUUCAGCAUUGAUUAUCUAAUAUUUGGUAAUAUUGAUUAUAAACAGUGUAAUUUGAAGCCAUGUUGACUUGUUCAUGUAGCCAUCCAAGAUAUCCGGCUUGAUUGCAUCAGUAGCUCACAUAUCCUUGAUAUUCCAGAGGUUAAGCUCACUUACAUUCUGGGGCCCCCUGGGAUAUCUUGUGACCAGAUCGGAGACAUGUGGCUAGCUAUUUGGUUGGUUUCAGGUAACAAAAUCUCGCCAAUCACCACAAUGUUAUUUGUCCUUUGAAUAUUUCAGAAGCUUCAAAGUGGGUCAAUUUUAGCAUUAUGUUGCUGUGAAAUCCUUUAAUGUACAUCUGAUGAUUAACUAACCUUCUUGUAUCAUCAACAAGGUGCCACAUACAAAGCAUCUGAUAUCGUCAUGACAUAUUCCAGGAUUGCAGAGCAUGUAAGUAAGCCUAACCCCUGAAAUUCAAGAAUGUAUGUAUGUAUGGUGUCGAGGAUAUGAUGUUUAAAGAUUACUGCAGAAUUUGCUAAUAUGAGAUAUAGCAAUUUCUGUUCAGUAUCUUUUGAAUGUUUUGCUGUUACCAUCAUGAUUUAAAAUUUAAACUGAAUACUGUUUUAUUCAGAAAUCUAUAGAAAUCAUACAUUUAAUAUAUCAUUGUUACUUUAUCUGUUAUUUUGUAAAAGAGAAUGUCCAAACUAACAUAUAGGACCCUAUGGUGCUUAUUAUAGCAAUACUGUAUAGUUGCUAAUAUUUAUAAGGGUUUUAAAUUUGCAUAUUUUUCAAAUGUGUUAAAUUCACGAAAUUGGAAGCCUCGUUAAUAUUUUGAGAUCCUCGUGUUGUUCGUUGCUAGUAGUAACAAGCACUUGGAACUCUUUGCGAGGAGUUCCAAAGUAGACUUACAGAAAUUAUGAUUUGCGAGAUUAAACCCCCAUGAAUAAGUUCUGGACACAAAAUCAGGAACUUUUAAACCAGCAAAAUUUAACAACUUUACGGUAUUUAGUUCCUAUGGUGUUUAAUUAACUAACAGUGUGGUCCUGUGGUGUUUCAUAAAACUUGUUGUCAAUUCAUUGAUCAUCUUCCACAAUGAAAUAAUCAGAAGAUUAUGUAUGUAAGGUUCGUGUCAUAGACUGUGAUUGCUAUAUUACCACAUGAUAUUAAACAAGUUAUCUCCCUUUAUGUAAAAAAAAAUUAGUCAUGUUAGGUAUUGGGGAUAUGGAAAUUCUGAUUCGGAUUUUUAUUUUUGUUGAAGAGAUGAUGUCACAUUUCAGUACAAAUAUCACCAAGGCACGGAACAUUUUUAACUCAAAUUAUUUGCUUUUUUGUUAGAAUUUAGAGAAUGGUAGUUUACAAACAAGAGAUCACUGGGUGCCCCUAUUUUGUAUGUGGGAUCCUGCAUGGGUAUCCCUAGUGAACCAUGUAGAGUUAGGAAUACAUCAUUACAUGCUUUUUUUGUUCAUAAUAAUAGCAAACAAUAGAAGAAACUUUAACAAUGACUGCAUGUAUUCCAUAUUUUUUUUCAAUCCCGAAGUUUCAGAUGUUAAGCACUAGGCAAGUAUUCUCGAAAAUUGCUUACAAACUUGAUGGUGGUGAGGUCAUUAUUCAAUUUACUUCUCCAUACAAUUAUUUUUCUGAGUUGUCUCCCCUACUUGAGAUAAAUUGCUGCUUCAUACAAUUGUUUUACUGGAUUAUCUCCCCUGAUUGAGAUAAAUUGCUGCUUCAUACAAUUAUUUUACUGAGUUAGCUCCCCUAAUGCAGAUACAUUAAUUCUCCCUUAAUUUUUAUACUUUGCUAAUGAGUUAUAUACCAUGAUUGAUUAAUUUUACAGUCUAACAUAUAUAUCAAACAUUAUCAUAAUUGGUUCAGUAUAAUGCACUAUUGGGUUAUCUCCCAUUUGUCCCUAUUGUAUAUAUAUAUAUAUUACAGAAAAAUCAAUAAAUAAAUCAUUCAUCAAGCUUUUUAAGGACAGCAAAAGUACAGGGGCCCGUUAAUUAAACUACAAAAAAUUCUGCUCAAAUGCAACAGUGACAUUAUGUUUCAAGCAAUUUUCCUGCCUGCUUUUUCUGCUUAUGUAUAAACAAGUAUACAGACAACUUAAAGGCCGGGUAUUUUAGUAGACUUUUGUUUUAAAUUUCCUGUUUAGAUUUUUUUUGCUCAUAUUUUUAUUUUCUUAGAUUUUACCUUUUUUGUAGACGUUCUCCAAACUGUGGUAGUUGGUCUUCAUUCUAGACAAGUCGGUGAGUUUUAUAAUUUCAAUGUUUUUUUAAUAGAUGGAGUUACCAAGGUGCUUGUAAAUAACUAACAAGUUAUUUGUGGAAUGUGCGAGUGGGCAUCCAUCAAGCCUCUGACCAUGCUAACUGUUGCUGAACUAGUGAAGGUGUCCCAGGGUUAUACCUUAUUGGUGGAAAAGCUAGAUUGCCAGUAAGGCAGUAUUUUCCUUGCAUAUUUCUUUGUCGUUACAUUUGACAAACAAUUAGAUUCAUAUGUCAAGUAUUUUAUUCUCGAUUGAUAGUUUAAACACGAUUCCACAAUUGCCUGUUACCAGGUAAAUGAAAUCAUGUCCUGCCAAAGUUAAUAUAAAGGUCAUAGGUCAGUGUACUCCAUUACUGUCCUGUCAAAGUUCACAUGAAGGUCAUAGGUCAGUGUACUCAUUCACUGUCCUGUCAAAGUUAACAUAAAGGUCAUAGGUCAGUGUACUCCAUUACUGUCCUGUCAAAGUUCACAUAAAGGUCAUGGGUCAGUGUACUCCAUUACUGUCCUGUCGAAGUUCACAUAAAGGUCAUGGGUCAGUGUACUCAUUUACUGUCCUGUCAAAGUUCACAUAAAGGUCAUAGGUCAGUGUACUCCAUUACUGUCCUGUCAUAAAGGUCAUAGGUCAGUGUAAUCCAUUACUGUCCUGUCAUAAAGUCAUAAAAAGGUCAUUAUAUUGACAAGUGAUAAUGUUUCCAAGCUUUUAAUCAAAUAUGAUGUAACACAAAGUGUGUAUUUAUUGUACAUGUUUCAGAUUUGUGAAACAAACUGUAUAUACAUGUUCAUGCUUCAGUAUAAAAACUGUUUUAUAAUUCAUUUCUUACUUUCAUUUGUAACAAACUUUUUAUCUUUACUGUACAUUUUCAUUGCUUCAGAUUUGUUUUGAAUUGCAGUAUAUUAGUAUGGUUUAUGAUUGAGUUGAUAUUAAACAAAACAUUAAUCGUAAAGGUUACAGGGAUUUCAUAACAAGUUAAACAAACUGUUCACAAAUUUCUUCAGUUAAAAGUGAAAGUAUAUGAACAAUGAUUCAGACAGUGGAAGCUCAUUCAUUCAUUCCAGAUGGUAAAUCAACUUAUAGAAUUUCUGUCUUUUUUGUGACAUUCUUGAAGCACAAACGUCCAUACUUAUUUUCAUCUAAGAAAACAAUUUUCUUUGUUAUGAUAAUAUAAUCUUUUAGAUGACAGGAAAAUAACAGAUAUACUACAAUGCCAGUCUGGUGAUAAUGAGGAGUUGAUCUGGCUUCUACGGUUUUCUUUGAGCUCCCAUGUACCAAUUCCAAAUAAUGAGAAGGUUAUCUGUUGAUACAGUAUCUUAUUGUCGUAAUAAUUUCUAAAAUUGUAUGCCACUUGUUGAGAAUUGAUGUACAUUUCUAUGGAAAUGUGGUUUAAAAUAAAAUACUGAUUGUCUCUGUCUUAUU